CACCUAGUUUAAAAACAGUUAAUUAAUUCUGUAUUUACUCCUUUUCCUUAUUUAAUAAUUAUUUUGAAAGGCUACAACAGCACCAUGCCAAAUGAUGACGUAAAACAGUGAACCGAUUUUAAAAUAAGGAUGUAGAAUUAACAUAUGUAACAAGAUGUUUUAAACUUGUAUGUGGUGUCUUAGAUAGGUAAGUACCAGGGUUUUUAGUUGAUGAUGGUUUUAGGCACAUCACACUUAUAAAAGACAUGGUUCUCCACACUGUGAGUAGUUUGAUCUUCUGUGUUUGUGGUGCCGCAUCACUUAUGAAUGCUUCUAAUCUCAGUGUAUAAAUGGAACCAGUUUCAUACAAGGUAAUGGAAGCAGAAAAGGAUAUUCACCAAGUAUUAGUUUCUAGUACUGACAAGAAGCCUCCAGAGGCUGACACCAUGGGGUUCCAUCAAACUAAAAUCUGAGGGUGCAGACAGUGGGAGAUAUAACAGUUGACCACCUUAUUUGGUCAAGCUCAAGAAAAUUAUUCACAGCACAUAUUAGCAAAAUGUAAUAUUUAGUGGGCAUUUCAUCUUGGAAUUAUAUUUUGGAAUCUUUGAGGCAAGUGCACAUUUAAUGAUUCAUGUUUUAAAGAUUGAGUGUAAAUUUGUUUAUUCUUACCUGCCGACUUGCAUCCAGUGCUCCUGACUGGAGAGCCCAGGCUGAGAUGGUGUUAAAUGCUUUUACCACGUGGGCUCCUGGCACCAAAUGAGCAAGAUCUCACCCCACAGGCCUUGGAAACCUGAGGCAGUAUUCUUCUGGGAUGUUUCCAACUAGGCUUCCCAUGAGG
ensembl:lncRNA novel transcript, antisense to STEAP4